AGUGAACGCUGGCGGUAGGCCUAACACAUGCAAGUCGAACGGCAGCACAGUAAGAGCUUGCUCUUACGGUUGGCGAGUGGCGGACGGGUGAGGAAUACAUCGGAAUCUACUUUUUCGUGGGGGAUAACGUAGGAAAACUUACGCUAAUACCGCAUACGACCUACGGGUGAAAGCAGGAGAUCUUCGGACCUUGCGCGAUUGAAUGAGCCGAUGUCGGAUUAGCUAGUGGGCGAGGUAAAGGCCCACCAAGGCGACGAUCCGUAGCUGGUCUGAGAGGAUGAUCGGACACACUGGAACUGAGACACGCUCCAGACUCCUACGCGAGGCAGCAGUAGCGAAUCUUCCGCAGUGGGAGAAAGCCUGACGGCGCAACGCCGCGUGAGUCAGUAAGGUCUUCGGAUCGUAAAACUCUGUUAAUAGGGAAGAACAAAUGUGUAAGUAACUAUGCACGUCUCGACGGUACCUAAUCAGAAAGCCACGGCUAACUACGUG
rnacentral:rRNA from 1 species